GUUAAAUCGUUUAAGUAAGAAGAGUACGUAUAUUGGAGACGUUUUAGAGAGUCGGGGACAGGUGGGAGCCCGGUACGGUGCCAUAUACGGAAUGGGCUUACGAGAGGUAUGCUGAACAAUUUUAUUCAGUAGGCAACCCGGGUUCCGCCGUUACAAGGAUAAGGUAUAUAUUUUUGUACCUGAAUAAAGCGGGAUGCUUUUGCGUCCAACAUGAGGUGGUACCACGGUAAAUUUAUCGUCCUCUAC
rnacentral:ncRNA from 1 species